AGCUUUGCACAGUGGCAGUAUCAUUGCCCAUGAGGUUUAUCCGAGGCACAAUUAUUGCUAAUUGAAAACUUUUUAUAGUUUGUAGAGGUUUCACUUCAUAGUUGGCUGGCUCCAAGGCAGAGU
rnacentral:snRNA from 1 species